rnacentral:tRNA from 1 species
GGACCCGUAGUUUAACAGGAGAACGCCCGCCUCAUAAGCGGGAGGAGGUGGAGCAUCACCAUCCGGGUCCACCA